AUUAGAUACCCUUGUAGUCCGGCUGACUGACUCUUACACCAAGUAUCUCGUAUGCCGUCUUCUGCUUGAAAAAAAAACCCGGGCUUAACCUGGGAACUGCAUUUGAAACUGGGUAACUCGAGUUUAGUAGAGGAGAGUGGAAUUUCAGGUGUAGCGGUGAAAUGCGUAGAGAUCUGAAGGAACAUUUGUUGCGAGGGCCGCCGUCUAGAUUAAACCUUACUCUGAUGUUUGUGAGCGAGCCUCACCGAUAA
rnacentral:rRNA from 1 species